UUUGGAAUAUUCCACAAUGGGCGAAAGCCUGAUGGAGCGACACCGCGUGGAGGAUGAAGGUCUUCGGAUUGUAAACUCCUUUAGACCCGGAUGAAGAUUACAGGGUGAAUAAUCCUGUGAUUUGACCGUACGGGUAGAAUAAGCCACGGCUAACUCUGUGCCAGCAGCCGCGGUAAUACAGAGGUGGCAAACGUUGUCCGGAAUUACUGGGUGUAAAGGGUCCGCAGGCGGCCUUGUAAGUAAAAGGUGAAAUGUCUCGGCUUAACCGGGUCACUGCCUUUUAAACUGCAGGGCUUGAGUACGGUAGAGGAGAGUGGAAUUCCCAGUGUAGCGGUGAAAUGCGUAGAUAUUGGGAGGAACACCAGUGGCGAAGGCGGCUCUCUGGACCGAUACUGACGCUCAGGGACGAAAGCCAGGGGAGCAAACG
rnacentral:rRNA from 1 species